AACGUAGGAGGCAAGCGUUAUCCGGAAUUACUGGGCGUAAAGGGCGUCUAGGCGGCGGUACAAGCGCGAUGUGAAAGCUCCUGGCUCAACUGGGAGAGUGCGUAGCGAACUGUGCAGCUAGAGGCCAGGCGAUGGGGGUGGAAUUCCCGGUGGAGUGGUGAAAUGCGUAGAGAUCGGGGAGGAACACCAGUGGCGCAAGCGGCCCCCCAAGCCUGAACCUGACGGCUGAAGCGGCGACAGCGUGGGGAGCAAACGGGG
rnacentral:rRNA from 1 species